UACGGGGGGGAGCAAGCGUUGUUCGGAUUUACUGGGCGUAAAGGGCGCGUAGGCGGCCUCUGCAAGUCGACUGUGAAAUCUCCGGGGCUUAACCCCGGAAAGGUCAGCCGAUACUGCAGGGCUAGAGUGCAGAAGGGGCAACUGGAAUUCUCGGUGUAGCGGUGAAAUGCGUAGAUAUCGAGAGGAACACCUGCGGCGAAGGCGGGUUGCUGGGCUGACACUGACGCUGAGGCGCGAAAGCUAGGGGAGCGAACGGG
rnacentral:rRNA from 1 species